rnacentral:tRNA from 2 species
GGCGUUUUGGUAGAUUGGUUAUACAUCGGAUUGCAAAUCCGUGGAGAGCGGUUCGAUUCCGCUAAACGCCUCCA